CCUACGGGUGGCAGCAGUGGGGAAUAUUGCUCAAUGGGGGAAACCCUGAAGCAGCAACGCCGCGUGAGGGAUGAAGGUUUUCGGUAUCUUAAACCCUUUUGGUAGGGAAGCAAAUGCCGGUACCUGACCAAGAAGCACCGGCUAACUACGUGCCACCAGCCCCGGUUAUACGGAGGGAGCAACCGUUAUACGGAGUAACUGGGGGUAAAGGGGGCGUAGGCGGGUUAGAAGGUGAGGUGUUAAACCCUUGGGGCUAACCCCAGGACCGCAUUUGAAACUGGGGGUCUGGAGUAGGGGAGAGGUAGGCGGAAUGCGUGGUGUAGCGGUGAAAUGCGUAGAGAUCGCGAGGAACACCGAUUGCGAAGGCGGCAUGCUGGAUCCAAACUGACGCUGAGGCACGAAAGCGUGGGGAGCGAACAGGAUUAGAUACCCGAGUAGUC
rnacentral:rRNA from 1 species